GUUUACUUACUCUGCAAAGUACAAUACGUAGUUUAUAUAUGAUUUGGAUAUAAUCCAUUUUGCUAUUUCAAAAACCCUUCACCUAAUUGUGCAUCCUAGAAGAUACUACAUUUCACUCUUCCUGGUCUGAAGUCUGACUCUCUCUCUCUCCCUCUGCAGCCAGACUGGGCGACACUAAGGAGCUGGAGGACUUCAUCGCUGACCUUGAUCGGACUUUAGAGAGCAUGUGACACCCAGGAUCGCUUCGUUUGGACCCCCCAUGGAGCAGCUAACACCCCCCCCACUCCCCUCCCAGGAAACCCCCCAGCAGGAUGGGACAAAGUGUCUCCACCUCGGCACCAAGUCUAGCCUCGUUCUGCUAAAGUUAACCCACUAACUCCACCUGGACUGCAACACGGGUCACAUUUAGCUCCAGAGCUACCGUGACGACGAGAAUACGACGAAUCGGACGCCAUGAAAAGUCGUGAGGAAUUUACGACGAGGAAUAUAAAAACAGUCACUGGAACAUUUUUUAUUUUGAAAUCCUAAAUCAUGCCACAGACCAAGUUACACUCCCUCAUUCAACACUUGAGCUGGAAGAGUAUUUAAAAAACAAAAGGCUUUUUAUAAUAGAAAUAUAUUUGUAAUUUUAUAGAGCUUCUUAUUGUAAAGUUUUGUUGUUGUUGGGAAAUAUAUUUUUGUAUCUUAUGUAAAUAAUGAUUGUUCCAAAUGUCUAUUGGUUUAUUAACAGCUUUGACUCUGGAGUAAAGGGGGCGACGAGCUUUAAUGUGAUACUGAUAACUGAAUCACUUCUGAACAAAACUGGAAAGCUAUAUAUGUGUAUUUAAUACAGCUAAUGCCUGCCAGAGAGGAUAUUAAAAUAUUGUUCUUUUAGUAA